UACGUAGGGUGCAAGCGUUAAUCGGAAUUACUGGGCGUAAAGCGUGCGCAGGCGGUGAUGUAAGACAGUUGUGAAAUCCCCGGGCUCAACCUGGGAACUGCAUCUGUGACUGCAUUGCUGGAGUGCGGCAGAGGGGGAUGGAAUUCCGCGUGUAGCAGUGAAAUGCGUAGAUAUGCGGAGGAACACCGAUGGCGAAGGCAAUCCCCUGGGCCUGCACCGACGCUCAUGCACGAAAGCGUGGGGAGCAAACAGG
rnacentral:rRNA from 1 species